CCAAUAGCGUAUAUUAAAGUUGUUGCAGUUAAAAAGCUCGUAGUUGAAUUUCGGGAUUAAUGUUUCGGUCAUGCCGUUGGUAUGUACUGAUAUUAUUGAUUUCUCACCUUCUAAAGAACCGUAAUGCCAUUAAUUUGGUGUCACGGGGAAUUAGGACUGUUACCUUGAAAAAAUUAGAGUGUUUAAAGCAGGCUCACGCUUGAAUACAUUAGCAUGGAAUAAUGAAAUAGGACAUCCGAUUCUAUUUUGUUGGUUUCUAGGAUCGAUGUAAUGAUUAAUAGGGAUAGUUGGGGGCAUUAGUAUUCAAUUGUCAGAGGUGAAAUUCUUGGAUUUAUUGAAGACUAACUACUGCGAAAGCAUUUGCCAAGGAUGUUUUCAUUAAUCAAGAACGAAAGUUAGGGGAUCGAAGACGAUCAGAUACCGUCGUAGUCUUAACCAUAAACUAUGCCGACUAGGGAUCGGAUGAUGUUAAUUUUUUAAUGACUCAUUCGGCGCCUUACG
rnacentral:rRNA from 1 species